rnacentral:rRNA from 1 species
GGGAUAGGAGAAUUGGAGGGCAAGUUUGGUGCCAGCAGCCGCGGUAAUACCGACUCCAAGAGUGUGUAUGAGAGAUGCUGCAGUUAAAAAGUCCGUAGUCAUAGAAGGGCAAAGAGAGAUGCGAGGUCUCACAGUGCGAUGAUGGAGGAGCCGAUGGGGAACAUAGUAUACCAGGGCGAGAGAUGAAAUGCCAAGACCCCUGGUGGACUGAGCGAGGCGAAGGCGAUGUUCUUGUAGGCAUUCGGUGAUCAAGGACGAAGGCUGGAGUAUCGAAAGUGAUUAGAUACCGCAGUAGUUCCAGCAGUAAAAGAUGCCGACAUGCUCAUUGGACACAGUGGGCAGGGAGAAAUCUUAGAGUUCGGGCUCUGGGGAUAGUAUGCUCGCAAGGGUGAAAAUUAAAGAAAUUGACGGAGCUACACCACAAGGAGUGGAUUGUGCGGCUUAAUUUGACUCAACGCGAGGAAACUUACCAGGGCCAAGUAUUGUGUAGAAACGAGCAAUACAGGAGUGGUGCAUGGUCGUUGGAAAUUGAUGGGAUGACUUUGACCUUAAAUGGUUGAAUGAGUGAGAUCUUUUGGACAUGUUCCGCACGGAACAGGAAGGAAAAGGCUAUAACAGAUCCGAGAUGCCCUCAGAUGCCCUGGGCUGCACGCGCAAUACAAUAGCAGGUAGAGAGAGAGACAGGAAGGUGCUCAGAUGGACUAUGUGCUGUAAGGCACAUACGAAAGAGGAA